rnacentral:rRNA from 1 species
ACAUUUACCUUGAACAAAUUAGAGUGCUCAAAGCAGGCUAAGACAAAGCGUCCGGUCCUCCGUGGGGUUGGCGUUGGCCGAGAAUAAUCUUGCAUGGAAUAAUGGAAUAUGACCUCGGUUUAUACGAUUUCGUUGGUUUGUCAGAAACCUAGAGGUAAUGAUUAACAGAAGUAGUUGGGGCAUUGGUAUUACGGCGCGAGAGGUGAAAUUCGUAGACCGUCGUAAUGUCGUCAGUCGAUCCAGGUAUCACCCGCUCGACCCCUU